GUGGGAACCGCAGGAAGGUAACGCCGUUGAGGAGAAGUGGGAACGGAGGGAAGGUAACGCCAGUGAGGAGUGGGAACGGUGGGAAGGUGACACCGGUGAGAAGUGGGAACCGCAGGAAUGUAACGCCGUUGAGGAGAAGUGGGAACGGAGGGAAGGUAACGCCAGUGAGGAGUGGGAACGGUGGGAAGGUAACGCCAGUGAGGAGUGGGAACGGUGGGAAGGUGACACCGGUGAGAAGUGGGAACCGCAGGAAUGUAACGCCGUUGAGGAGAAGUGGGAACGGAGGGAAGGUAACGCCAGUGAGGAGUGGGAACGGUGGGAAGGUGACACCGGUGAGAAGUGGGAACAGUUGGUGAAUUCGCCUAAGGCUCUAAUGGCAGUUCCUUGUCGUAUUCUUGUGACUUUUACAUAUGUUUGACGUUGUAUCAAAAUGAACAGGUGGCCACGCGGGACAGACCCUAAAGCCAAGGUUCUUUCUGACCUUAUCAUGAGGCUGAUCCUUGGAGCGCAGGGAGGCGGCCGCAGGGUGAACAGUGCCCUCUGUGUAGGCUCCGGAGCAGAAUGGUCAUCAUGGACAGGCCGCCGGCUGCUGGGCUGUGACUGUUCUGAGGCUGAAAUGGGCAAACAGCCUUGCCUCCUCUCCACCUGCAGCUGCAAGCCUGGACAGUCGAGGCACCCCGGGAACCUCCCCUACGCUCAUGUCUUGCUCGUGCAUUUCUGAGCUCCCCGGCAGUUCAGCCUCCCUUGUAUUAAAUCCUGACAGGAAGCUUGGAUUAAGACCUCGGUAGUGCUAAAGCCGUUGCUCUCUGAACCCAUGCUCAUGGGGGAUGAAUCUUGUCUCCCCAAAAGAUAUGUUCGAGUCCUAAGCCCUGGUUCCUACAAACGUGACCAGUUUGGAAACAGGGUCUUCGCAGAUGUAAAAAGUUAAGGAUAUCAUGAUGAGAUCAUCUUGGAUUUAGUAUGGGCCUGAAAUCCGGUGCCUGGCAUCCUUAUGGGAGAAAGGAGAGGCUUGCAAAGAUGGAGGUGGGGCUGGGCGAUGCUGAGGACACCCGGAGUCACCAGAAGCAGAAGCGCCGAGGAGGGAUCUCCCUGGAGCGAGCAGCUCUGAGGGAGCGCAGGCCUACACCUCAAUCUUGGACUCUGGCUUCCGGAACCAUGAGGGAACAAGUGUCUUGUUUUAAGCUGCAGCCCAGGAAUCCGCCUCCCUGUGGCUCACCAGUCCCCUUGGGCACAUCUUCCCUCUCCUAAUGGGGUAAAAUCAGGGGCAAUGUGCUGUGACCUGUGGCUUUGGGGGUGCUCUCAGGAGCGGCCUGGGGCUGAGCAGGCAGGGAGCCUCUACCUGUACCUACUGUGCCUGCUCCCUGUGAGGGCUGGGAUGCCCCCCCGAUGCUGAGCAGGUGCCAGGAAUGUUGAUGGAUGGAUGGAUGGAGAGAGGGAUGUUGAUGGACGGAUGGAUGGAGGGAGGGAUGUUGAUGGACGGAUGGAUGGAGGGAGGGAUGUUGAUGGACGGAUGGAUGGAGGGAUGUUGAUGGACGGAUGGAUGGAGGAAGGGAUGUUGAUGGACGGAUGGAUGGAGGGAGGGAUGUUGAUGGACAGAUGGAGGGAGGGAGGAAUGUUGAUAGACAGAUGGAUGAAGGGAGGGAUUUUGAUGGACAGAUGGAGGGAGGGAGGAAUGUUGAUAGACAGAUGGAUGGAGGGAGGGAUGUUGACGGACAGAUGGAGGGAGGGAUGUUAAUGGACUUAUAGAAGGGAUGAAGGGACGGCCAGUCCACCACCAAGCAAGGAUGAAACCCUAGAUGCAAAUCAGGCUCCGAGUCAACUUAUGGGAGUUCUUUGAUAAAAACACAUAUUCAUAAAAUGAGUCACAAAGGCCCUUGCAUUUUUCAUUUUCAAUCUGCAUUUGUAAACAUCUUUACUCAGCUUCACUUUGUACAGGGAGGUCUUCGAAAUUUUAAUUUCAAGCUCAAAACAUGAGGGCUGUUAUUCUGGCCCACUUUUUUUUUCUUGGAAAAGAUAGGAAGCUCUUCGCCAAAAGAAAAAUAAGUCACAAGCUUAAUAAAUAACGAAGCACAAAGCAAACCACUCAUGCUCAAUUUUUCAUACUUCUAUGAAUAUUUCAGGAAAUAAUAGAUGGCCUUAGAAGACUAUCAUAAGGCUGGCAGGGACCCGGAGCUGGGGACAGCCACCUUCUUCUCUCAACCCUCUUGAUGUCAUUUGUGUAAAAUUAAUGCAGGAGUUGGUUUCAUUUUCUAAUUCAUCGAGAAAGGAUAUUUCUAUUCACAAUGGCAUCUUCCAGUUACCCAUCCAAGACUUCGGUGGUGCGGGGCAGGGGAGCCCCCAGGUGGGGCUGAGCCCCGACGGUUCUUGGCUUUACCCUGGAGGGAAUUCAAGGGCAAGCCGCAGGUAGAAGGAAAGAGCUUUAUUCAGGCGGCCGUGCCACAGCUCACAGCUCCCUGACUGCUCCUGCAGCGGGGCCGCCCCGUAGGCAGAGAGCAGCCGCUUGGGGCAGUUUUGCAGUCACACUUAUACCGCUUUUAAUCGCAUGCAGAUUAAGGGGCGAUUUAUGCAGAAAUUUCUAGGGAAGGGGUAGUAACUUUUGGGUCAUUGAGUCAUUGCCAUAGAAGGGGGCGGUAACACCCGGGUGUUGCUAUGGCAACGGAAAACUGACAGGCACUCGGGUGGGCGAGGCUUAGGGAAAGCUGCUUCCGCGAGCCCUGCUUUAACUAGUCAAUCCGGUCCGGAGUCCAAGUACUGCCUCUGGAGUCGACUCCCACCUCAAACCUCACUCGAAUGAUGGCGUCCCAGUCCUCUCUCAGAAGACGUCCAUCAGCAACGUGAUUCUGUCCUCCCAGCCAAGCUGGCAGCUCCCGGAGCCCCUGCCCUAUCGCUGGUCUCCCGGGCUGUGCAGGCCCUGCAGGGACUGUGAGCCCUCCUCACGCGGAGGAAGCAGAGGGGGCUGGACCUGCCGGCCUGGCACAUGCACGUGGAGAGGCCGACUGUUGUGCACACUCACGCAGGCACACACACACUUGCUCACACACACACUGAACUCAUGCUCACACAUGCCUGUCAGGCUCACACUCACACUCGCUCAUCCGUGCACUGACACUCAUACACGGCCAGCGUCCUAAGGCGGAAGAGUGAAGGAGAAAGGCCUGCACUCCAAGGCUGGGCUGCAAGUGCAGCGGGGGUGAGGGGUGGGGGAUCGCCGGAGCAG
rnacentral:lncRNA from 10 species